UCUGAAAAUUUUUUGUGGAAAAAGAAAGAACAAAACCUUUGCAACAAUGGUUCAAUCUUUCCUGGCUUGCUUGCAUCAUUGACUUUUUUUCUUGCUCGGCUUUGGCUUUAAAGAAUUUGCAUUUUUCAUAAUCCCUACAUAUGUUGAUUCAAUCUUAGGCAUAGACAGGAUCAUGGACUCUUGAAGAGAACGCUUGAAUUCCAGCAGUGGACAUGAUAUAUUGUGAGCAAUUACCAUGAACUGGAUCAGUCAUUCAGGCCCCAAGCAUAUUAGCAUGACUAUAAGAACAAGAACUAGUCCAUGGUAGAGGUGUGAAGUAAAAGUGCAACUCAUAGUGUGACAGAAACCAUUUAUGAGAAUAUCCAAGUCGCUUAAGUACCAACUGCAUCUAGUACAUAUUCUCAUUAGCAAAAGCAUGAAUAAUUUGAAGCGAGCAUGGGCAAUUUUUUGAAGCAAAGAAUGCUAUAGUUGAGAAAGCUGAGGUGGUGGAAUCACAGCCUAGUCCCCAGUGAAGUCACCAAAAAUGUAGGGGCACUUUUGAUCGGAGUUGUACGCCAAUGGAAUCACGCCUAAAAUCUCGUCUCCUUUGUCUGAGUUAGCGAAGAUUAGGCCCAGCAAACUUCGAAGGACUGAAAUCCUAGGAAGUAUGCUGUUGUGUCCCUCCAAGCAGCUCUUCUCUAUGUUCACAGCAGUGAAUUAGUGUGCAAUUUUAGUAAAGGUUUGGCAAGAUGUGCGUGGCGUGGGAGCUAGAAAAGCAUGAGUUUCGGAAGAAG